rnacentral:rRNA from 1 species
UAUCGUUGGGCUUCGGCCCAUUCGAGAUAACACCCUUGCCUUUUUGAGUACCCUUUCGUUUCCUCGGCAGGCUCGCCUGCCAACGGGGACCCUUCAAAACGCUUUGUAAUACCUGUAAUUGUCUGAUAUAACAAGCAAAAAUCAAAACUUUCAACAACGGAUCUCUUGGUUCUGGCAUCGAUGAAGAACGCAGCGAAAUGCGAUAAGUAGUGUGAAUUGCAGAAUUCAGUGAAUCAUCGAAUCUUUGAACGCACAUUGCGCCCUUUGGUAUUCCUUAGGGCAUGCCUGUUCGAGCGUCAUUUAAACCUUCAAGCUCAGCUUGGUGAUGGGCGACUGUCCCCCCCCUCGCGGGGGGACUCGCCUCAAAAACAUUGGCGGCCGGUACAUUGGCUUCGAGCGCAGCAGAAACGCGGUCUCGAGCCCGGUGGAUCGGCUCCCAUAAGCCUAUUCUUUUAUUUUGACCUCGGAUCAGGUAGGGAUACCCGCUGAACUUAAGCAUAUCAAUAAGCGGAGGAAAAGAAACCAACAGGGAUUGCCCUAGUAACGGCGAGUGAAGCGGCAACAGCUCAAAUUUGAAAUCUGGCCCUUUCAGGGUCCGAGUUGUAAUUUGUAGAGGGUGCUUUGGCGUUGGCUGUGGUCUAAGUUCCUUGGAACAGGACGUCGCAGAGGGUGAGAAUCCCGUAUGUGGCCGCCAGUCUUCGCCGUGUAAAGCCCCUUCGACGAGUCGAGUUGUUUGGGAAUGCAGCUCUAAAUGGGAGGUAAAUUUCUUCUAAAGCUAAAUAUUGGCCAGAGACCGAUAGCGCACAAGUAGAGUGAUCGAAAGAUGAAAAGCACUUUGGAAAGAGAGUCAAAAAGCACGUGAAAUUGUUGAAAGGGAAGCGCUUGCAGCCAGACUUGCCUGUAGUUGCUCAUCCGGGCUUUUGCCCGGUGCACUCUUCUAUGGGCAGGCCAGCAUCAGUCCCAGCGGUUGGAUAAAUGCCUGUUGAAUGUACCUCUCCUCGGGGAGGACUUAUAGCUUCAGGCGGCAUACAACCAGCCGGGAUUGAGGUCCGC